rnacentral:rRNA from 1 species
GCAUAUCAAUAAGCGGAGGAAAAGAAACUAACAAGGAUUCCCCUGGUAACGGCGAGUGAAGCGGGAUGAGCUCAAGCUUAAAAUCUCCGUGCAAUUUUUGCACGGCGAAUUGUAGUCUAUAGAGGCGUGGUCAGUAUAAGCACUUGGGGUAAGUUCCUUGGAAAAGGACAGCAUGGAGGGUGAUACUCCCGUUCAUCUCUAAGUUGCUUGUGCGUACGACCCGUUUUCUUUGAGUCGCGUUGUUUGAGAAUGCAGCGCAAAGUAGGUGGUAAAUUCCAUCUAAAGCUAAAUAUUGGUGCGAGACCGAUAGCAAACAAGUACCGUGAGGGAAAGAUGAAAAGAACUUUGAAAAUAGAGUUAAAGAGUACCUGAAACUGCUGAAAGGGAACCAAAUCGUUUCCAGUGUCUAUAAUCCGUGGUAUAUUUCAUUGGCGAGUGUGUGCGUGCGUGUGCUGUUGCAGUGGCUUUUUGGCUGCGCUCGGUGUGUGUGCUGUGUGUACUUGCUGGUGCCCUGUGCUGCGGUGGGACGUCAAGGUCAGUUCGUAUGCUGCGGGAAAUGGCUACUGAGGAGGUAGGGCUUACGCUUGCGUUUGUCUGUUAUAUCUUGGUGGACGAGUCGUCGCGGUUGGGACUGAGGUGCCUACAACGUGCUUUUGAGUGGGCUUGGGUCUCCGUGUGCGCCGUGUGCGGAUAGCUUGCUAUGCGUGUGUGGUUGUAUGUGGAUUGAUGCGAGCCGUAACUUGUAGUCGUUCGGGACGUUGACGAAAUGGAGCGAUUUGACCCGUCUUGAAACACGGACCAA